UGCACGCUGGCGGCAGGCUUAACACAUGCAAGUCGAGCGGAAACGAUGAUAGCUUGCUAUCAGGCGUCGAGCGGCGGACGGGUGAGUAAUACUUAGGAAUCUACCUAGUAGUGGGGGAUAGCACGGGGAAACUCGUAUUAAUACCGCAUACGACCUACGGGAGAAAGGGGGCAGUUUACUGCUCUCGCUAUUAGAUGAGCCUAAGUCGGAUUAGCUAGAUGGUGGGGUAAAGGCCUACCAUGGCGACGAUCUGUAGCUGGUCUGAGAGGAUGAUCAGCCACACCGGGACUGAGACACGGCCCGGACUCCUACGGGAGGCAGCAGUGGGGAAUAUUGGACAAUGGGGGAAACCCUGAUCCAGCCAUGCCGCGUGUGUGAAGAAGGCCUUUUGGUUGUAAAGCACUUUAAGCAGUGAAGAAGACUCUUCGGUUAAUACCCGGAGACGAUGACAUUAGCUGCAGAAUAAGCACCGGCUAACUCUGUGCCAGCAGCCGCGGUAAUACAGAGGGUGCAAGCGUUAAUCGGAAUUACUGGGCGUAAAGGGAGCGUAGGUGGCUCGAUAAGUCAGAUGUGAAAUCCCCGGGCUCAACCUGGGAACUGCAUCUGAUACUGUUGAGCUAGAGUAUGUGAGAGGAAGGUAGAAUUCCAGGUGUAGCGGUGAAAUGCGUAGAGAUCUGGAGGAAUACCGAUGGCGAAGGCAGCCUUCUGGCAUAAUACUGACACUGAGGCUCGAAAGCGUGGGAUAGCAAACAGGAUUAGAU
rnacentral:rRNA from 1 species